UACAGGGGGUGCAAACGUUGCUCGGAAUCAUUGGGCGUAAAGCGCACGUAGGCGGUUCGUUAUGUCGGAUGUGAAAGCCCUUGGCUUAACCGAGGAAGUGCAUCCGAAACUGGCGAGCUAGAGUACGAAAGAGGAUCGCGGAAUUCCCGGUGUAGAGGUGAAAUUCGUAGAUAUCGGGAGGAACAUCGAUGGCGAAGGCAGCCCCUUGGACCUGUACUGACGCUCAUGCACGAAAGCGUGGGGAGCAAACAGG
rnacentral:rRNA from 1 species